rnacentral:tRNA from 1 species
UCCUCCGUGGCGCAAUUGGCUAGCGCGUCUGACUGUUAUCCUCUGCGAGGAUCGUAAUCAGGAGGUUCCUGGUUCAAGCCCAGGCGGGGGAG